CAUGGAAUAAAUCUGGUGCCACCAUUACAUUAAAAAGAUUUCCAUUAAUUAGAAGAACCACCAUGCCACUUGAAUUUGUCAAAUUUGGAGGAAAGUUCAAAAUUAUCUAAUUUCACUAAAUCUUUUAGAAAAUUAUAAUUUCAACUGUGAUUAUAGGUGUACUUAUAAGCUUUUAAUCAACCCUCAUAAUAAUGAUUAAAAACCUCU
rnacentral:lncRNA from 1 species